UAACUCUCAUUUCCAUUGGGACUUCCUUUUAUGUUCCCCGCAAAACCUAAAAUCAGGAGAAACGGGUUUGGAAGACUGAUUUUAUAAAUCACAUCCACUUGGCUUCUUUAAGUGAUAAGCAAUGUGUCAUUUUCUCUGUAGAGUGUGUACGCAGCUGGGAAAUGAGUUAUUUAUAAUAAUCAGACUUCACACGUAUGUACAUAUUUGCAUAGUAAGCACAUCAUAUGGUACUAUGAGUUAAUGGCAUUUGGUGGUAACCUUGGUAUCUUCAGUAUAUCUAAGCAGUUAAUGUGGUUUGUUAGAAUUUGCAGGCUGUUGCCCAUGAAUAUUUUAGCCUAUUGGUGCUGCAACCUGUCUACCAGAGAUUAAAGGCAUUUUAAGUUCUAAUCUGUCUCAAGGGAUGGGUAAGGAGGUAAGGGGCUGAUAUUCUACAGAAGAGAAUUAAAUUUCCCUAUCCUCUUAAUUUCCUACCUUAGCUUCCUGGCCUUCACACACCUACCUUAAUCAUAUUUAUCAUGAUUUUCCAUUCAAGGUUAUUGUUUUCCUGGUCUUCGCCUAUUUUAUUCAAAGUCUCUUCGUCUUUUCAGAUAGUUAUUCUAUAUCUUCUUUUCACAGGGCCAAAUUUGGUGUGGAGUUACAUCUCCAUCUUUCAUUUGGUACCUUUGAAUGAAAAGAUACCCUCUGACAAGGCUCAGUUCUUUAUGAGGAUCACUGUCAAGCACAUUGCUUGACGGGUGGCAUAUAUGUGGGAGAAUUCAUUUGAACAGAUUUUCUAUCGAAGGAUAAAUACACCCCCAAAUCACAAUGGUAAUCAGAGCCAGCCACCUCAUUUCUGAUGAUUUUACAAAUCAGUUGGUCUUCAGAGAUGAGUCAACAUGACACUGUGCCCACACUGAGUUGUUUUGGCUGCGGGGGUGGGGGUUGCUUUUCACUCUCUCUUUAAAAAUUUCAGCUGCAUUUGUGAGUGUUUUCAUCCUUUGCUAAAAUAUGUUUUUAAAAUUGUGAUUAACAGUCAUUUUCAGACCCAGAUAUUGGCUCUCUUUUGCCAAAGAGACACAGCAUGAAGAACAGGCAAACAGCAAAAUAAUACAAGAGGGUAUGUUUAUUCAUCAGAAAUCGUGUUAAUGACUACAUCUGCCCCUCUCAUUUUGGGCUUGCUGGGAUCAUCUCUGUACUUCUGAUUUGUUGAUGUUUCCCCCUACAGUGAAAUCUCUUCAUAUUGCACCCCAUCAAUAAAAGAGUGCCCAUGGCUGGUCUAACAUUUAUGCUCAGAGUGUAAGUUAGAGCAAUUUAAAAUUUGAAAACUAUAAUCAGGCUGGGCGCAGUGGCUCACGCCUGUAAUCCCAGCACUUUGGGAGGCUGAAGUGGGUGGAUCAUGAGGUCAGGAGUUUGAGACCAGCCUGGCCAAGAUGAUGAAACCCCAUCUCUACUAAAAAUACAAAAAUUAGCCGGGUGCAGUGGCAGGUG
rnacentral:lncRNA from 1 species